ACUCGGGACCUUCAGAAGAGCAGUCGGCGCUCUUAACCACUGAGCCAUCUCGCCAGCCCCGUGAUCUUGUAUCUUUCUCUUAGAUUCUGUUGCCUCCUCGGGGUGGAGGAUUUCAGAGAGUGAGUGCUUGUGUUUGUUUUCCCUCAGUUCCCUGGUUCAGGCAGUUAUGAUGUUGUUGCUCCUCAGGCAGCCAGAGUGAAGGGAAAGAGCCGCAUCAAUCGCUGGUGAAAACCAAAAGGCCAAGGCUGUGAGAGUCUUCACAAGGAACGACCACUGAACACAUAACAGAAUCCAUUGGAUCCACAAAAGCACGUUGAUCACAGCAGACUUAGGAGUGUUCCCCAGACAUUUGCUGUGAUACCUUACCCUUCCUUCUGAAUGCACAAACUAGUUCACUUCUUUUGCCAAAUCUGUUUCGUUAUCAUUUAUCUACAUAUUAUGUAUUACACAUAUUGUACUGUUCUCUUCUUGUAUUUUCCCAAAUGCUUUGGCAAACUGGAUGUUUAGAGCCUGUUUGGAGGGUGUCACAGGGUGUCAUAGUCAAAAGGAUCUUGUUUCUCUGAAGGCAGCGCUCCGUCCUCCCACCAGAGUGCCAUCCAGCUGGUGAGCAGGACUCUACCAGCAUCCAUUUCACGCACAUUCAGGUCAGGUGCAACCUUAGGGCCAUCUCAGUUCAAAUCAAGGUGUUCAGCUCAGAACUUUAAGUUCAGCCUCUGGUAGCUGCCCGCCUUUAAGUAAGUCACUUCACCUCUUUGGGUCUUGGUAAAUUUGCCUUUAAGAAAACAAGGCUAGGUUUGACAACCAUUAAUUCCUUUCCUCUUGUAAAGAUUGGCUUCCUUUUGAUUGUAUAGCUUUUCUUAAUAUAUGUAACUGAUGCUUUCUCCCAAAUCCAGCACUGGCACAAAUAUUUCUGUGGCAUAUUUUCUGAAUCUGAAAGUUGACUUCCCAUCCUCUUACACUUGGAAGAAAGAAUCUCAGGGUGUUUGAGAGAGAAUAGCUGGUGUAGAGAUUCGGCGACAGAUGUUCCCCGUAAGUGUCGUUUACGGGGUGUUUACUGUGUCUUCAGGUUUCAGCAGUCCUUCGACCAUGCAUCAUGCUUGGUCUGAGCCUCUUAAGUAAGUGUGGCAGUUCCUUCAGAUACAAACCUUGUUUUCUUCCUGAUUUAGCUGCCUUGCAGGCACUGAAAAGAAAGAAGAGGUUUGAGAAGCAGCUCACUCAGGUGGAUGGCACCCUUUCCACCAUCGAGUUCCAGCGAGAAGCGCUGGAGAACUCGCACACCAACACGGAGGUCUUACGGAACAUGGGCUUCGCAGCCAAGGCCAUGAAAGCGGUUCAUGACAACAUGUGAGUGACCCAGACUCCUUGUGCUUGAUGCUGAGACGCGUCUUUGAAAUUGUGUGGUGAUUUUGGUAGGACUGGGUCACUGUUAGAUGUAUUGAAUGGGAUUUGCUCUUAGAGGCAGUUUCAAACUUAGAGUUACAAUUAAAAAAAAAAAUUGUU
rnacentral:lncRNA from 1 species